rnacentral:lncRNA from 1 species
AGAUCACCAUGGUGACUUACAAGUAACUCAUUGUAUUUUAAUGUCAGACUAUCUAUAUUUCUAAUAUAGUGAUAAAAGAUUUUUGGACACAGUCAAAAACUUGUGAAGUCUGUGUGUGAGUUAAGAUAGGAUUGACCACUCCUGGUUUCAGGUGUUAAUGCUAUAAUAUGAUGUUUUAAUUUAGUAAAACUUUAUCCAAGAUAAUCCUUGUGAGGAGUCAUAGGAUUUAUAAAGUUAAGACACAAUUCGAAUGUACUGAUUAAGAGUUGAUAGUUUAACUCUGAAGUCAUC